rnacentral:rRNA from 1 species
AUUGAACGCUGGCGGCAUGCCUUACACAUGCAAGUCGAACGGCAGCACGGGAGCAAUCCUGGUGGCGAGUGGCGAACGGGUGAGUAAUAUAUCGGAACGUGCCCAGUCGUGGGGGAUAACGUAGCGAAAGCUACGCUAAUACCGCAUACGAUCUAUGGAUGAAAGCGGGGGAUCGCAAGACCUCGCGCGAUUGGAGCGGCCGAUAUCAGAUUAGGUAGUUAGUGAGGUAAAGGCUCACCAAGCCGACGAUCUGUAGCUGGUCUGAGAGGACGACCAGCCACACUGGGACUGAGACACGGCCCAGACUCCUACGGGAGGCAGCAGUGGGGGAAUUUUUGGGACAAUGGGCGCAAGCCUGAUCCAGCAAUGCCGCGUGCAGGAUGAAGGCCU